CUUAAGAAAUGACAGGUUCAGACAUAAACAAGAAAGUUUGAACUUGCUGCUUCCGGUUGCGUACGUUUUCAUGACCCAGAUUCAAAGAUGACAACUGCACUUCCGCUCUGUUUGUCUCAGCAGACAGCUUGCUGACGUGACAUACAACAUAUUUGGAUUUUGUUGUUUAAUAUCGUAUUGAAAGAUUUAAGAGAACCUCAGGAUGAGACAGCUGAAAGGAAAAGUGAAGGAAACAAAAAAAGAAAAGAGAGAAAGAAAAGCAGACAAUUUAAAAAAUAAGGACAAAGUAUGGACAGUUGUCUUACCAGUGAUUCUGACUAUAUCUGUUAUUAUUAUAGCCUAUGUUCUGUUGAGCACAAAAGCUCUCUGAUUUUAAGUCUUGUUUUAUGGUCAAGGGGAGAUAAUCUCUGUUAAUAUCUUUAUAUACUCAAGAUUUCAUGGUCUCAUAUAGGGAUGAAUCAUUAUCAUUGUCAUAACAGUGGAGUUAAUUUGUGUAUUAAUUGUUACUUUAUUCUUAAUCAGAAAUAAUUAUGCGACCAUUUACACUUUGAUACUCAAUGUAUUUUAAGCAUAAUAGAUCAUAUUUAUUGUUGAUAUUUAUCUGGUGAUUUUUUACAUUUUCCAGUUUUAAAAAAUGUGGCAGAUUUUUUUUUUAUAUUUAAGCGAUAAAUGUUGGAUUAAAAACUUGUCUGUUGA